rnacentral:rRNA from 1 species
UACGUAGGGUGCAAGCGUUAGGCGGAAUCACUGGGCUUAAAGCGUGUGUAGGCGGAUCGUUAAGUGUCUUGUGAAAUCCCACGGCUCACCCGUGGAACGGCUGGGCAUACUGGCGAUCUUGGGCCAACUAGGGGCAACUGGAACAAGCGGUGGAGCGGUGAAAUGCGUAGAUAUCGCUUGGAACGCCGAAGGUGAAAACAGGUUGCUGGGGUUGUGCCGACGCUGAGACACGAAAGCCAGGGGAGCAAACGGG